UACAGAGGUCUCAAGCGUUUGUCCGGAAUUACUGGGCGUAAAGCGUGCGCAGGCGGUUUUGUAAGUCUGUCGUGAAAUCCCCGGGCUCAACCUGGGAAUUGCGAUGGAGACUGCAAGGCUAGAAUCUGGCAGAGGGGGGGUAGAAUUCCACGUGUAGCAGUGAAAUGCGUAGAGAUGUGGAGGAACACCGAUGGCGAAGGCAGCCCCCUGGGUCAAGAUUGACGCUCAUGCACGAAAGCGUGGGGAGCAAACAGG
rnacentral:rRNA from 1 species